GACGAACGCUGGCGGCGUGCCUAAUACAUGCAAGUUGAGCGAUGAAGAUUGGUGCUUGCACCAAUUUGAAGAGCAGCGAACGGGUGAGUAACGCGUGGGGAAUCUGCCUUUGAGCGGGGGACAACAUUUGGAAACGAAUGCUAAUACCGCAUAAUAACUUUAAACAUAAGUUUUAAGUUUGAAAGAUGCAAUUGCAUCACUCAAAGAUGAUCCCGCGUUGUAUUAGCUAGUUGGUGAGGUAAAGGCUCACCAAGGCGAUGAUACAUAGCCGACCUGAGAGGGUGAUCGGCCACAUUGGGACUGAGACACGGCCCAAACUCCUACGGGAGGCAGCAGUAGGGAAUCGUCGGCAAUGGACGAAAGUCUGACCGAGCAACGCCGCGUGAGUGAAGAAGGUUGUCGGAUCGUAAAACUCUGUUGGUAGAGAAGAACGUUGGUGAGAGUGGAAAGCUCAUCAAGUGACGGUAACUACCCAGAAAGGGACGGCUAACUACGUG
rnacentral:rRNA from 1 species